AACCGCAUAGGAAGAACAGGUGCCCUUGGGGCUUAAUAGGGAAGACCGGUGUGAUGCCGGCGCGGUCCCGCCACUGUAAUGGGGAGCGAGUCCAGACGAUGCCACUGGGAUGCAAAGUCCUGGGAAGGCCUGGAGGAGCGAGGAACCAGAGCCAGGAGAACUGCCUGUUUGAAAAUCACCGU
rnacentral:ncRNA from 2 species